GGAGGGGUGGCAGAGUGGUCGAUUGCGACGGUCUUGAAAGCCGUUGACCCGCAAGGGUCCGGGGGUUCGAAUCCCUCCCCCUCCGCCA
rnacentral:tRNA from 1 species